UGAGGAAUAUUCUGCAAUGGACGAAAGUCUGACAGAGCAAUACCGCGUGAAGGAUGAAGGCCUACGGGUUGUAAACUUCUUUUCUCAAGGAGGAAGAAAUGACGUUACUUGAGGAAUAAGCAUCGGCUAACCCUGUGCCAGCAGCCGCGGUAAUACAGGGGAUGCAAGUGUUAUCCGGAAUUAUUGGGCGUAAAGCGUACGUAGGCGGCUUAUCAAGUCUGGGGUUAAAGACCACAGCUUAACUGUGGG
rnacentral:rRNA from 1 species